UACGUAGGGGGCGAGCGUUGUCCGGAUUUAUUGGGCGUAAAGAGCGUGUAGGCGGCUUGGUAGGUCUGCUGUAAAAACUCGGGGCUCAACCCCGAGACGUCGGUGGAAACCACCUGGCUAGAGUCCGGAAGAGGCGAGUGGAAUUCCUGGUGUAGCGGUGAAAUGCGCAGAUAUCAGGAGGAACACCAAUGGCGAAGGCAGCUCGCUGGGACGGUACUGACGCUGAGGCGCGAAAGCGUGGGGAGCAAACAGG
rnacentral:rRNA from 1 species